CCUACGGGGUGCAGCAGUGGGGAAUAUUGGACAAUGGGCGAAAGCCUGAUCCAGCCAUGCCGCGUGUGUGAAGAAGGCCUUCGGGUUGUAAAGCACUUUCAGUGGGGAAGAAAGCCUUGGGGCUAAUACCCUCGAGGAAGGACAUCACCCACAGAAGAAGCACCGGCUAACUCCGUGCCAGCGGCCGCGGUAAUACGGAGGGUGCGAGCGUUAAUCGGAAUUACUGGGCGUAAAGCGCGCGUAGGCGGUCUGAUAAGCCGGUUGUGAAAGCCCCGGGCUCAACCUGGGAACGGCAUCCGGAACUGUCAGGCUAGAGUGCAGGAGAGGAAGGUAGAAUUCCCGGUGUAGCGGUGAAAUGCGUAGAGAUCGGGAGGAAUACCAGUGGCGAAGGCGGCCUUCUGGACUGACACUGACGCUGAGGUGCGAAAGCGUGGGUAGCAAACAGGAUUAGAUACCCGAGUAGUC
rnacentral:rRNA from 1 species